rnacentral:rRNA from 1 species
GACGAACGCUGGCGGCGUGCCUAAUACAUGCAAGUCGAACGAAGCUGUUUUAACUGGUGCUUGCACCGACUUAAACAACUGAGUGGCGAACGGGUGAGUAACACGUGGGUAACCUGCCCCAAAGCGGGGGAUAACAUUUGGAAACAGAUGCUAAUACCGCAUAACCACAGAAACCACAUGGUUUCUGUGUCAAAGAUGGUUUCGGCUAUCACUUUGGGAUGGACCCGCGGCGUAUUAGCUAGUUGGUAAGGUAAUGGCUUACCAAGGCAAUGAUACGUAGCCGAACUGAUAGGUUGAGCGGCCACAUUGGGACUGAGACACGGCCCAAACUCCUACGGGAGGCAGCAGUAGGGAAUCUUCCACAAUGGACGAAAGUCUGAUGGAGCAACGCCGCGUGAGUGAAGAAGGUUUUCGGAUCGUAAAACUCCGUUGUCAGAGAAGAACGUGUGCGAGAGUAACUGUUCGUGCAGUGACGGUAUCUGGCCAGAAAGCCACGGCUAACUACGUGCCAGCCGCCGCAGUAA